CUUUGAAAACGCUUUCCUUGAUAAAAUUUAAGCGUUUUAUAAGAGGAUGCCGGGGAAGGUUUUCCGGUUUAUCCCGGAGGGCUUGUAGCUCAGUUGGUUAGAGCGCGCGCUUGAUAAGCGUGAGGUCGGAGGUUCAAGUCCUCCCAGGCCCACCAGUUUAUCCAUUACUUUCAUAAGUGCUUUUAAAAAAUAAGUACUUCUAAAAAGAUUGCUUCUAAAAAGAUUGCUUCUAAAAAGCUUAUCAAAAUUGGCAGGCUUAUUGCUUUUGUGUGAGUAAUCCAAAGUUAAAGCAAAUUAAUGGCAAAAAAACAGUUCAAAUGCUAAAUACUAAGGAGUCAAAAUUCCUUGCAAAGUGAUUUUUACAGCGUCCAUUUGGUUGAUAUAAAUUCCAAAUGCUCAUAGACGUCAAUGCCUAUAUGAAACUAUCGGUUCAAUCAUAUCGCUUUGAGUUAUAUAGAUUUUGUAAUCCCUCUUUUGAUCGUUUUAAACGCUUUAUCCUGAUUUAGGGGCCGUAGCUCAGCUGGGAGAGCACCUGCUUUGCAAGCAGGGGGUCGUCGGU
rnacentral:misc_RNA from 1 species